GAUGAACGCUGGCGGCGUGCCUAAUACAUGCAAGUCGAGCGAACAGACGAGGAGCUUGCUCCUCUGACGUUAGCGGCGGACGGGUGAGUAACACGUGGAUAACCUACCUAUAAGACUGGGAUAACUUCGGGAAACCGGAUCUAAUACCGGAUAAUAUAUUGAACCGCAUGGUUCAUUAGUGAAAGACGGUUUUGAUGUCGCUUAUAGAUGGUUCCGCGCCGCAUUAGCUAGUUGGUAGGGUAACGGCUUACCAAGGCAACGAUGCGUAGCCGACCUGAGAGGGUGAUCGGCCACACUGGAACUGAGACACGGUCCAGACUCCUACGGGAGGCAGCAGUAGGGAAUCUUCCGCAAUGGGCGAAAGCCUGACGGAGCAACGCCGCGUGAGUGAUGAAGGUCUUCGGAUCGUAAAGCUCUGUUAUUAGGGAAGAACAAAUGUGUAAGUAACUAUGCACGUCUUGACGGUACCUAAUCAGAAAGCCACGGCUAACUACGUG
rnacentral:rRNA from 1 species